GAUGAACGCUGGCGACGUGCCUAAUACAUGCAAGUCGAGCGAACAGACGAGGAGCUUGCUCCUCUGACGUUAGCGGCGGACGGGUGAGUAACACGUGGAUAACCUACCUAUAAGACUGGGAUAACUUCGGGAAACCGGAGCUAAUACCGGAUAAUAUAUUGAACCGCAUGGUUCAAUAGUGAAAGACGGUUUUGCUGUCACUUAUAGAUGGAUCCGCGCCGCAUUAGCUAGUUGGUAAGGUAACGGCUUACCAAGGCAAUGAUGCGUAGCCGACCUGAGAGGGUGAUCGGCCACACUGGAACUGAGACACGGUCCAGACUCCUACGGGAGGCAGCAGUAGGGAAUCUUCCGCAAUGGGCGAAAGCCUGACGGAGCAACGCCGCGUGAGUGAUGAAGGUCUUCGGAUCGUAAAACUCUGUUAUUAGGGAAGAACAAAUGUGUAAGUAACUAUGCACGUCUUGACGGUACCUAAUCAGAAAGCCACGGCUAACUACGUG
rnacentral:rRNA from 1 species